rnacentral:rRNA from 1 species
GUUCUAGGCCCUAUCACCCUGAAGGAGCCCAAUCUCAUCUGGUCUUGGAAGCUAAGCAGGGUCGGGCCUGGUUAAUACUUGGAUGGGAGACACAUCUUCAGAACUGACUGCCAGAAACA